GAGAAAGGAAAAAAAAAAAAGAACAAAAAAAUCUCCUGAACUAUGUUUAACCUGAUUCUUGUCUCGGCAGGAUACGUAGGCAGCCCUAUUCUGGGGUUCAGUCCAACCAAAGAAAAUCCAAAAUUCUCCAUUUCAAAGAAACUGGGAUAGAAGUUAUUAUUUUCCAUUUGAGUCGAUUCCAAACGUUGUAAGUCUCACCCCUUAUUAUUUUUGUGCUGUCUUCGAGCCUCCAUGCCAUCCUUUCUUUCCAGCCAUAUCCAAAAGCCACGUUACAACCAAAGAAAACCUUCAGAUCGAUCAUUGAGAAUGUCAAGGCUGAGCAAGCUAUGAGUAUAAGUCAUUUGCAUCACUGGCAUCAUCUGUUGCAUUAGCAUAAGGAAAGUGGAAGAAAAAUGAAAAUGAGAAGAUCUUAUUGGUGAAAACCCUCACGGGCACCGUAAGGCGAUGGUGAGUUGAGAGAAUUGAAAAUGAGAGAGUCUUACUGGUGAAAACCCUCACGGGCACCGUAAGGCGAUGGUGAGUUGAGAGAAUUGAAAAUGAGAGUUUUAUUGGUGAAAACUCUCACGGGCACCGUAAAGCGAUGGUGAGUUG